GCUUGCACUGGUACUCGAGUGGCGAACGGGUGAGUAACACGUGGGUGAUCUGCCCUGCACUUCGGGAUAAGCCUGGGAAACUGGGUCUAAUACCGGAUAGGACCACAUUUUGGAUGGUGUGGUGGAAAGUUUUUCGGUGUGGGAUGAGCUCGCGGCCUAUCAGCUUGUUGGUGGGGUAAUGGCCUACCAAGGCGUCGACGGGUAGCCGGCCUGAGAGGGUGUACGGCCACAUUGGGACUGAGAUACGGCCCAGACUCCUACGGGAGGCAGCAGUGGGGAAUAUUGCACAAUGGGCGCAAGCCUGAUGCAGCGACGCCGCGUGGGGGAUGACGGCCUUCGGGUUGUAAACUCCUUUCGCUAGGGACGAAGCGCAAGUGACGGUACCUGGAGAAGAAGCACCGGCUAACUACGUGCCAGCAGCCGCGGUAAUACGUAGGGUGCGAGCGUUGUCCGGAAUUACUGGGCGUAAAGAGCUCGUAGGUGGUUUGUCGCGUCGUUUGUGUAAGCCCGCAGCUUAACUGCGGGACUGCAGGCGAUACGGGCAUAACUUGAGUGCUGUAGGGGAGACUGGAAUUCCUGGUGUAGCGGUGGAAUGCGCAGAUAUCAGGAGGAACACCGAUGGCGAAGGCAG
rnacentral:rRNA from 1 species